AAACAGGUUUUCCGUAGGUGACCUGCGGAAGGACAUUA
rnacentral:rRNA from 1 species